CGAGGGGCAGCGGGGCGGCAGGCUUGCCUGCCGCCGCCGGCGACCGGCGCACGGGUGAGUAACACGUAUGCAACCUGCCCGUGGCAGGGGGAUAAGCGGGGGAAACCCCGUCUAAUACCGCGUAACGCGGCCUAGGGACAUCCCAAGGCCGCCAAAGGGAGCAAUCCCGGCCACGGAUGGGCAUGCGGCGCAUUAGCUAGUCGGCGGGGUAACGGCCCACCGAGGCGACGAUGCGUAGGGGUUCUGAGAGGAAGGCCCCCCACACUGGUACUGAGACACGGACCAGACUCCUACGGGAGGCAGCAGUGAGGAAUAUUGGUCAAUGGGCGCGAGCCUGAACCAGCCAAGUCGCGUGAGGGAGGACGGCCCUACGGGUUGUAAACCUCUUUUGCCGGGGAGCAACGGGCGCCACGUGUGGCGCCACUGAGAGUACCCGGAGAAAAAGCAUCGGCUAACUCCGUGCCAGCAGCCGCGGUAAUACGGAGGAUGCGAGCGUUAUCCGGAUUUAUUGGGUUUAAAGGGUGCGUAGGCGGAUCGUUAAGUCAGUGGUCAAAUUGAGGGGCUCAACCCCUUCCCGCCAUUGAAACUGGCGAUCUUGAGUGGAAGAGAAGUAUGCGGAAUGCGUGGUGUAGCGGUGAAAUGCAUAGAUAUCACGCAGAACCCCGAUUGCGAAGGCAGCAUGCCGGCUUCCUACUGACGCUGAAGCACGAAAGCGUGGGGAUCGAACAGGAUUAGAUACCCUGGUAGUCCACGCGGUAAACGAUGAGCGCUAGGUGUCCGGGGGGAAUGGNCCCUGGGUGCCACAGCG
rnacentral:rRNA from 1 species